rnacentral:lncRNA from 1 species
AUAGAGUUUACACACUUGAUCUAGGGUGAUAUGACUGUGUUUGAGUAUGCCCGAAUGCUUCUAGAGUUGGGUCUGUAUUCCCCUAGAGCAUGAUGGAUGAAGGCAAGAAUACAAGGAAGUUCGAGUGGCUGCUCUGCACUGAGAUUAAACAGCAAUUGUAUAUAUUUGAGCUCAAUACCUACUUAGUUGUUCUGACAAAGACACAGCUAGUGGAAAGGAACCUUUGUAUCUUUUCUCUAGCAGUAGAGAAUCCUAGACUCCCGGUUUCAUACCGCAGACAAGCACCCACUGUACCAGUUCAGCAGAACAAGAGGCCUAGGCCAGUACUUAGACUCCUCCUUAGGCUCUGAUAACAGGACGCAGUAGGACUUGUCAGCACUGUGGCAAGAAUUAUGGGGCCUGACCCUACUAUAUUCUCAAUAAUACCUGUCGCAUAUGUGAGAGUACCCAACAUUACGCGAGAGAGUGCCCGCAGAAUUAGAACCAGGCCAGACCUCCUAUUUAGGGCAAAGCUUACAACCUUACUCAGCAGGAUGUUGAAGUCAACUCGGAUGUGAUACAUGGUAUGUACACUAUUUGUAAUCAUUUUGCACAUGUUUUGAUCGAUACUGGUGCUUCAUAUUCGUUUGUCUCACACACUUUUACACAAAACUUAAAUGUAUCACUGAAAAAACUU